AUGGGAUUGGGCCAUGGCUCUUCUGCCUUGGCGGACUGCCUGGGGCCUUGGCACCACCUGGAGUCUUGUGGGCGAGGCUGUGCUGCCUUCUGCCAUUCUCUGGAGCUCCGGGCUAACUUAGUCGCCUUGAAGCUGCUGCACCCAGCCUUCCACAGUGGCCUCCUGCUGGCACCACUCAGCUCAUGGAAAGCUGCUCUUGAGGUUCAUGCUUUGUCCUUGGGUCCCUGAUUAUGCCAGCCAUCAGCACCUCUGCUUUCCUGCAGGAGCUUAUGCAUCACUAUGGCAAGGGUGAUAGCCUCACUCUGCAGCGGCUGAAGGCCUUGCUCAGCACUAGAUGUUGGAGUGGGCUAGAAGAAUGUUACCCUGCCUGUGCAGGGCCAGAGGAGCCUCUCGAUGUGCUUUGCUUCUGGAAGACUCUUUGCUGCCCACAGUUGCAGUGCCCCAUCUUGGAUUGGGAGGAGUGAGUUCCAGGAGCCAAGUGCAGUAGAAGUGUGGUGAUUAGGUCUCCUGUGUGGCCAUCGUCUCCCUCUGGUCUUGCAUGGGGGCCAGCAUGGUGUCUGUCAUGAAGAAGACCUCUUACAAGAGGCUGCUUUCUGUACCUCACAGCUCUGGUGAUUGGAACCCUCUACUCCAACGCCGCCUUCCAGUUCAUCCUGAGGCUUUUGGUUUCAACCUCUGGAAUAUUAUUAUGUCUCCAAGUCUACAGUGGUGUUUGGGAGCUUUUAUCUUUUCUUUUUCACAGAGAAGGUCUUGAAGAUGCUUUUUAAGCAGAAAAAUGAACAUCGCACAGACAUUGCCAUUAUGUCUCUGAGACCCUGUCUUUAAAGGACAAGGAGCAAGACAAUGAUGGAAAAGUUGCAGAGGGAAUUCUGGACCACGUGAUUCUUCAACACUGCAACAGCGAUCUGAGUGGCAAGGCCCAUGGUAGACAAGAAGGUCACAGCAGCCUUACUCUGCAUGCAGGACCUGCAGGCUUCCUAGAGCACCUAUUAUUGGCUAAAAGGUGUCAGCAGUCUGGCCUUGACGAUCAUCCUGAGUAAUGGCCUCCAUAGUUUCAUUGAUGGCCAGGCCAUUGAUGCUUCCUUUACUGUAUCUGUUUUCCAAGGCAUCAGUACCUCAGUGGCCAUCCUCUCUGAGGAAUCCCUGCAUGAGCUGGGAGUCUUUGUUAUUCGGCUCAAUGCUCAGAUGAAUGUCUUCUUCAGCUUCCUUUCCACCUGCUGCUACUCCAUGAGUUUGGUCGUUGGCAUCCUGGCCGGCAGCCACUUCUCUGCCAACUGGAUUUUUGUGCUGGCUGGAGGAAUGUUUUUGUGUAUUUCUCUGGCCUGCCAAGAGGAUGAAAGGAAGGGCAUCAUCUUGAUCCCCUUUGUCACCCAGAACCCAAGCCUCUUGACUUGGCUCACCAUCAUGUUGGUACUCACUAUAUAUAUAAUCAGGACAGAGCCAGAUUGGGUAGGCCCUGGGCUGCCUGAUCCCAGGCUCAAGGACUCAGCAUCCAUGAAGCACCACGGAAGAGGCAAUUCUCAUAAGAAUUGAUGCAGACUGUAUUCCUGCAUUCAAAUGUCAAACUGUUUUUAAAAUGUUCUAUCCUAGGAAUAAGCCACUGUGCUAACCAGUCUCUUGGUAGUGCCUGUCACCCUCUCCUCUCCUUUUCUCACAGUGAUUCUGGAACCUGAAUGCAGCUUCUUGACGAGCCUAACUUUUUUUUCUGAUCACUCUGGCCUUUUUCUCUUGGAACCACUGCUGAAAGAUUUUGAAUCCUUUUCCUAACAAUGCAGAAAUACAGCCAGGGGUUAAUCUUGAGUUAGAAAUAUCAAGAGGUGAAUCCAAAGUUUUGGGCCCAUGAGUCUAAGUGUGUGUCCUGGACCUCAAGCUGCCCAGUUUCAAACCGGAUCUACCCCGUCUCACAAGUGAAGAGACAACAAACAGGAAUCCUUCCCACUUGUGCAAAGUCUGUUCUUUCUGUUGCCUAUUACUUCUCUAAGAGAACUGAAAAUCAGAGCAGAGAAGUCGGGUUGGAGAAGGGGCAGGGAUCUUCCCGAGAGAGAGGGGAAGUAGAAUGAGGACGCAGACAAUGCAUAUCUUGUCAAGAGGCUCCUUUGUUCCCACUGGGGCGCUGAAUAUAGGUCCUGAGGCAGCACCUGCUGUUCCUGGCCAUCCAGGAGCUAGCAGAAAAUAGCACUCGAAGUUUAAGACUCUGGAAAAUUUUGCUUUACUUCACUUACAUUGCUGCAUUACAUCGGUAAUUUUAGCAUUCCCAGUAUAUCCUGUCAUUCUUUAUAAAUACCCUGGGGAGUAGAAUGCCAAGUUAGAGUUAUGGGGUUUCUAGUUUGGGAGAUGAGCUCAAAAAUGUAAUCUUUAGUAAAUUAAAAAAUAAAAUAUGAAAUAGUAGGGUGCUUUUCCUUUUUGCACACACCUGUAUUAAGCUAAGAAAUUUCUUUUCAUAGACAGCUGCCUCAAAGAGAAAUCCUCUUUAAACUAUAUUUGGAGCAGAGGUCAGUCCUAGCUGGUGCUUAGGAGGGGUGGAGACACUCACAUCAUCCGACCGAUUUGUAAGUUGCCAAUGACAACAGAUUUGCCUCAUGAGUUGAAAAUGGGGCAACUUCUUUUUGACUUUUAAAUAUUUUAUUUGGUGUUUUAAGGAUUUGCACAUAUCAGAGUCCAAGAUGUGAAGAGUUGUUUUGAGGACUUUAUCACCCCUGGCAUUAGCAGCUUCAGCUUCCCUUUUUCUGGGUGGACCAGCUCCUACAAAUGUUAGCAAGGAAAGUAUGUCUCAUGCAGGAAUGGUAAGCCAGGAACAGGGGCUCUGCUACUUCCCACCUACUCCCUGGAUGGGCAGGUUGCCAUUGUCCUUGCCCUAAAGGUAUUUUGUAUCUUUUGUCACCUUGGAGUUAUUCCUUUCUUGCUCAUCCUUCCUGGAGGGUUUAAAAAAGAAGGUUUUUAGGCAACCUAAGAUCUGUUUUUAGUAAGUUUUCUUCCAAAGAGAUGGUAAUAUGUUGGAAAUCUGCUUUUUAAGAAAAGUCUGAUUUUUGCACGAGAGGUUAAGAUUUUAUUGUUCAUAUUCACCUUUACAGUUCUGCAAUUCCAUCACAGUAUUUUUUUCAAAACUUAGGUGUUAUGAGAAGAAAUUAGAAAAGGAAAUUAACUUAUAUGAACUGUAAAUGUCUUGUUUGUAAGAUUCUGUAAAUAAAGCUAUAUAUUCUGU